GAUGAGUGCUAAGUGUUGGAGGGUUUCCGCCCUUCAGUGCUGCAGCUAACGCAUUAAGCACUCCGCCUGGGGAGUACGACCGCAAGGUUGAAACUCAAAGGAAUUGACGGGGGCCCGCACAAGCGGUGGAGCAUGUGGUUUAAUUCGAAGCAACGCGAAGAACCUUACCAGGUCUUGACAUCCUUUGACCACUCUAGAGAUAGAGCUUCCCCUUCGGGGGCAAAGUGACAGGUGGUGCAUGGUUGUCGUCAGCUCGUGUCGUGAGAUGUUGGGUUAAGUCCCGCAACGAGCGCAACCCUUAUUGUUAGUUGCCAUCAUUCAGUUGGGCACUCUAGCAAGACUGCCGGUGACAAACCGGAGGAAGGUGGGGAUGACGUCAAAUCAUCAUGCCCCUUAUGACCUGGGCUACACACGUGCUACAAUGGGAAGUACAACGAGUNGCGAAGUCGCGAGGCUAAGCUAAUCU
rnacentral:rRNA from 1 species